GACGAACGCUGGCGGCGUGCCUAAUACAUGCAAGUCGAACGAGUGGCGGACGGGUGAGUAACACGUGGGAACCUACCCAUCAGAGGGGGAUAACUACUGGAAACGGUAGCUAAUACCGCAUACCAUCAGAUGUGCCCAGAUGGGAUUAGCUUGUUGGUGGGGUAACGGCUCACCAAGGCGACGAUCCGUAACUGGUCUGAGAGGAUGAUCAGUCACACUGGAACUGAGACACGGUCCAGACUCCUACGGGAGGCAGCAGUGGGGAAUAUUGGACAAUGGGCGAAAGCCUGAUCCAGCCAUGCCGCGUGUGUGAAGAAGGCCUUCGGGUUGUAAAGUACUUUCAGCGGGGAGGCGUUACCCGCAGAAGAAGCACCGGCUAACUCCGUGCCAGCAGCCGCGGUAAUAC
rnacentral:rRNA from 1 species